AGAUGUGAGGGCAAUCUGGCUGUGACAUCUGCCACCUCGUUGAUUGCCAGAGUCGAUUAGGCUGGUCUGGCUGGUUAGGUGGGUGUCCCCUUCUUUCCUCACUGCUCCAUGUGUGUCCCUCCUGAAGCUGUGCACUUGGUCCAAGAGGACGACCUUCCCGGAUAAAGGAGGACCAUUCUUCGGUCAAGGGUAUGCGAGUAGCUGUGCUCCCCUGCUAGAACCUCCAAACAGGCUCUAACUUCCAGAGUUAUUACAUAGUUACAAUACUCCAUACUGUGUGGUAUUGGCAGAGAGACAGACAAGUAGAUCAUUAGAGUGACAUAGAGAACCCAGAAAUAU
rnacentral:snRNA from 1 species